rnacentral:rRNA from 1 species
UACGAAGGGGGCUAGCGUUGCUCGGAAUCACUGGGCGUAAAGGGUGCGUAGGCGGGUCUUUAAGUCAGGGGUGAAAUCCUGGAGCUCAACUCCAGAACUGCCUUUGAUACUGAAGAUCUUGAGUUCGGGAGAGGUGAGUGGAACUGCGAGUGUAGAGGUGAAAUUCGUAGAUAUUCGCAAGAACACCAGUGGCGAAGGUGGCUCACUGGCCCGAUACUGACGCUGAGACGCGAAAGCGUGGGGAGCGAACAGG